rnacentral:rRNA from 1 species
CGCAUCUGUGCAUGCAGCAUAUCAAUAAGCGGAGGAAAAGAAACUAACAAGGAUUCCCUCAGUAACGGCGAGUGAAGCGGGAAGAGCUCAAAUUUGAAAUCUUGAAAGGUCACCUUUCACGAAUUGUAGUUUAAAGAAGUGUUUUCUGUUACGAUCGUAAUAUAAGUUCUUUGGAAUAGGACAUCACAGAGGGUGAGAAUCCCGUCUAUGAUUGCGAUUUGUAGCUUUGUGAUACACUUUCAAAGAGUCGGGUUGUUUGGGAAUGCAGCCCAAAACGGGAGGUAAAUUUCUUCUAAGGCUAAAUAUUGGCGAGAGACCGAUAGCGAACAAGUACCGUGAGGGAAAGAUGAAAAGAACUUUGAAAAGAGAGUUAAAUAGUACGUGAAAUUGUCAAAAGGGAAGCGUUUAACACCAGUGUUGUUUUCUGAAAAUCAACCUCUGUUAGCUUUAUGCAUGUUUGUUUAGACCUAAUCAGCUAUCUUUCAUGUUCUAUUGUUUGCAGUGGUGCACUUUUCAGUUUACAGGUCAACAUCAGUUUUUUUUACCGUAAAAAAGUUAAAGAAAGGUAGCUCAUGGCUCCGGUCGUGAGUGUUAUAGUCUUUUUCCUAUGCGGUAGGAGAGACUGAGGUCUGCAGUGUAGGCUAUUUGGCUAGAUACUCAGGUGCUAUGUGAUACCAUUUCAUAAACAACUUGUUGAUUAUGUUUUGUCUAUUGCAUACUCGCUUGUACUAUCAUACCUACGCUUAGGAUGUUGACGAUCAGCUGAGCGCGACUCUAUACAUGACUCUGUGCAUAUCAAUAAGCGGAGGAAAAGUACUACCUACGCUUAGGAUGUUGACGAUCAGCUGAGCGCG